AUUGAACGCUGGCGGAAUGCUUUACACAUGCAAGUCGAACGGCAGCACGGGGCAACCUGGUGGCGAGUGGCGAACGGGUGAGUAAUACAUCGGAACGUGCCCAAUCGUGGGGGAUAACGUAGCGAAAGUUACGCUAAUACCGCAUACGAUCUACGGAUGAAAGCGGGGGAUCGCAAGACCUCGCGCGAAUGGAGCGGCCGAUGUCAGAUUAGGUAGUUGGUGGGGUAAAGGCUCACCAAGCCAACGAUCUGUAGCUGGUCUGAGAGGACGACCAGCCACACUGGAACUGAGACACGGUCCAGACUCCUACGGGAGGCAGCAGUGGGGAAUUUUGGACAAUGGGCGCAAGCCUGAACCAGCCAUGCCGCGUGCAGGAUGACGGCCCUACGGGUUGUAAACUGCUUUUCCCGGGCGAAUAACCCCUCGCGAGGGGAGUGCGGUACCGGGGAGUAAGGAUCGGCUAACUCCGUG
rnacentral:rRNA from 1 species